rnacentral:lncRNA from 1 species
GCUGGACUAUGCCGUCCAUCACCGCUCCUGAAGGGAUGAGCACUCGGUGCUUUCCAAGUGAAAAGUGGAAAAGUUUGAAAGAAUCUAGUUAAAUCCCAAUUAAAUUUAGAUCCAAAAUUGUAUUUUUUUUCCUGGGUACAGGGACUAAAUUAUACAAUAAAUUGUCUUUUUCAAUUCCAAUUUCAAGAUCCGUGUCUUAGCUAUUAAAUCACUCCAAGUGCCUUUGCAGGUCUACCCAAUAACGUUCCAACUUCCAGCCCUGCAGAGUAACACCACCUUCUGUCUACCUGUGCCUCUGUAUGAUAAUCCUAUGUUUAUCUCCCUCUCUGUUUCUGUAUAUAGUUUUACUCUGACUAGAUCCUUACCUAAAAUACUAUUUCUGAAAACUAAAUGCUUUUGUUGGCUUUAAAGAGCACAGGUCCAUCUACUAUAAGACCUUCUAACUAUUAUGGGAAGCAGGAGAGAUAGAAGUUAGGGAAAAGGGUAUAAAUAUGGCUCAGUUAAUGAAAACAGCAGUAAUGUCCAAACAAAUGAAAAGAAAGGAAACACAUGCCGGCAAUGGUAGAGCAUCUUAAAGUUCCUGCCUACGGCCCUUGAGCUUAAAAACAAAUACAAAAUAGCAUGGAUUUGCUCAUAUGUAAAGUAUAGGUUUAGAAAUAAAGGCAUGAAAGUAAAUAAGGGAAUAUUGGGGGAGAGGAAAGAGAAUAGAGAGAGACGGACAUUACAAUGGGGCCUGGAUAGUAUGACCAAAAUGUAUGCAGCUAUGAGAUAUCACAAUGAAAUUCACUAUUCUGUAACAUAUAGUAAUAAACUUUUUAAAUAAAGCAAAGAGAAAUGGAGUAGGAGAUAUGGAGUGAGCAGAGAGACUUUUGAAUGAGGAAAAAGUUUUCUUUCAGACCUACAGAGAGAGAUUUAUUUUUGUUUAAGUAGAAUCAAAAUCUCACCUUUGGGGUUAGAGGGCAGAGCAUUUUGAUGCUGGAGUUCUUGGUCAUAUGCACAGACCUUUAGAUCAAUUCAAAUACCACUACAAUGGAAGUGAAUGGGACACAAGGAGCUACAUUUUUCCUCAUCUAUCAAUUCACAACAAAAGACCAGCUAUUAACAAAACCCUGUGGAGAAUGGUCCUUUGAAAUGAAAAGUCCUCUUGAAAAUAUAAUUACCCCCAUUUCCUUUUUUAAAGUAAGAAGUGGGUAGAUAAGAUUUGCAAAAAUCCAUUUCGGAGAUUUCAUUAACUUCAUUGUGGUAAAAGCUUAAAGAAAGGAGACAUAGGGGCUGGAGAGAUGACUCAGAGGUUGAGAGUACAGCAGUUCUUCCAGAGGACCAGGGUCUGAUUUCCAGCACCCAACUUCACCCCACAACUUUCUAUAACUCCAAUCCCAAGGGAUCCAAUGCCCUCUACCAGCCUUUACAAGUACCAGGCAUGCACAUGGUACGCAGACUUGCAUGCAGGCAAACUACCCACACACAUU